rnacentral:rRNA from 1 species
UACAGAGACUGCGAGCGUUAUUCGGAUUCACUGGGCGUAAAGGGUGCGCAGGCGGCCAAGUGUGUGAGGCGUGAAAGCCUGGAGCUUAACUCCAGAAUUGCACCUCAAACUACUUGGCUAGAGCAUUGGAGAGGGUAGCGGAAUUCCCGGUGUAGUGGUGGAAUGCGUAGAUAUCGGGAGGAACACCAGUGGCGAAGGCGGUUGCCUGGAGCUUUGCUGACGCUGAGGCGCGAAAGCGUGGGGAGCGAUCCGG